rnacentral:rRNA from 1 species
UACAGAGGGUGCGAGCGUUAAUCGGAAUUACUGGGCGUAAAGCGUGCGUAGACGGUAGCGUAAGUCAGAUGUGAAAGCCCCGGGCUCAACCUGGGAACUGCAUUUGAGACUGCUCUGCUCGGGUGCGGAAGAGGGAAGCGGAAUUUCCGGUGUAGCUGUGAAAUGCGUAGAUAUCGGAAGGAACACCAGUGGCGAAAGCGGCUUCCUGGUCCGACACCGACGUUCAGGCACGAAAGCGUGGGGAGCAAACAGG